ACCUGUGGGUCCCCAGAUGUUGUUGGACUACAACUCCCAUCAUCCCUGAGCUCUGGCCUUGCUUGCUGGGAUGAUGGGAUUUGUAGUUCAACAACAUCUGGGGACCC
rnacentral:miRNA from 1 species